CACGUAGGCACCAAGCGUUGUCCGGAUUUAUUGGGCGUAAAGAGCUCGUAGGCGGUUCAGUAAGUCGGGUGUGAAAACUUUGGGCUUAACCUAAAGCGUGCAUCUGAUACUGCUGUGACUUGAGUUCGGUAGGGGAGUGGGGAAUUCCUAGUGUAGCGGUGAAAUGCGCAGAUAUUAGGAGGAACACCGGUGGCGAAGGCGCCACUCUGGGCCGAAACUGACGCUGAGGAGCGAAAGCGUGGGGAGCGAACAGG
rnacentral:rRNA from 1 species